UCCUCACACGCUCCUGGCCACCUGGGGU
rnacentral:piRNA from 1 species